GGACUGUGGCUCAGUGGUAGAGCACUUGCCUAGCAUGUGUGAGGCACUAGGUUCGAGCCUUAGCACCA
rnacentral:tRNA from 1 species